rnacentral:rRNA from 1 species
UCUUUUCCUUUUUUGCCCGCCGCCGCGGUAAUACGUAGGGGGCAAGCGUUAUCCGGAUUUACUGGGUGUAAAGGGAGCGUAGACGGAUGGACAAGUCUGAUGUGAAAGGCUGGGGCUCAACCCCGGGACUGCAUUGGAAACUGCCCGUCUUGAGUGCCGGAGAGGUAAGCGGAAUUCCUAGUGUAGCGGUGAAAUGCGUAGAUAUUAGGAGGAACACCAGUGGCGAAGGCGGCUUACUGGACGGUAACUGACGUUGAGGCUCGAAAGCGUGGGGAGCAAACAGG